rnacentral:rRNA from 1 species
UUAAAAAGUAAAUAGAUUUAUUUGAGUAGUAUUAGUUAUAUUCUUGAAACUAAAAAAAUUUGGCGGUAUUUUAGUCUAUUCAGAGGAACUUGUUUUUUAAUCGAUAAUCCUCGAUGUACCUUACUUAAAAUUGUUAAUCAAUCUAUAUAUCGUUGUUAUUAGAAUAUUUUAUAAGAAUAAUAAUUUUCUAUAAUUUUUAUAAAAAUUAAUAUCAAAUCAAGGUGUAGUUUAUUUUUAAGAAUAAAUGAGUUACAAUAAAAUAUAUUUUUGAAUUUAAAUAUGAAAAAUUUAAUGAAAUUGGAUUUGAUAGUAAAAUUAUAAAGAUUAAUAAUUUGAUUUUAGCUCUAAAAUAUGU